GACUGUAGUAUGUGCAGAUAAAUCCUUAGGUCGCUGGUUCGAAUCCGGCAGGUCGGAUUUUUUUAAUAAUACAUUU
rnacentral:sRNA from 1 species